rnacentral:misc_RNA from 1 species
GAUGAAAAAGAAAAAGGGAAGAAUAAUCAACAUAGCAUCAGUUGUUGGCCAAGUUGGAAAUAUUGGGCAAGCGAACUACAGUGCUGCAAAGGCAGGGGUGAUUGGUUUUACAAAGUCCGUUGCCAAGGAAUAUGCAAGCAGAAACAUCAACGUCAAUGCUGUUGCUCCUGGGUUUAUUGCGUCCGACAUGACUGCCAAGCUGGGGCCAGAGAUUGAGAAGAAAAUUCUGAGCACUAUCCCCUUGGCAAGAUAUGGCCAACCUGAGGAAGUUGCUGGACUUGUUGAAUUCUUAGCACUUAACCCUGCUGCUAGUUACAUUACAGGACAGGUUCUUACCAUCGAUGGUG